GACAUCAAACAUGGAGGAUGGGUUGAUCUUCACUUUGUACUCCGUCUCCAGGAACUGAGAAAACUUCAGCUUAUUCUCCUGUUAAGACAGUGCAUGGUGCCAGAGCUCUUUUGGCCUAGAAGAAUUGGGUGGUCUGGUUUUUCUUUUUUUUGAGACGGAGUCUCACUCUUUUGCCCAGGAGGGGACCCACACCUGGAAGGCUCACCUGCUUCACCUUGGCGAGUUCCCGGAGGAAGACAUCAUCACCCAGGAAGCUGUGGAGCUUCGUCAGCUGGCUCAGGUCUUUCACAUAGUCUUCUCCAAUUUUCUUUCAAUUCAAAGGAAAAGAUGACUUCAAUUUGGGGAUGGUAAUCAAGUCCAAAUGGGCAGUUUCUGUCAGUAUUUCUCUCUGUCACCUACCACAGUGUAGUUCACGUAUCACACAGAACAUGGGAUAGUUUGACUCAAAGAAGAGUCUAUAAAGUCUAUGUGAGAAGAACACUUUUGCUAGUAUCUUAAAUGUAGUUUCAGCAGUUUUUAAAAAUUAUUUUUAUUU
ensembl:lncRNA novel transcript, antisense to PYGL